GAUUCUCUUUUAUAUAGUUUAAAUAAAACAUUACAUUUUCACUGUAAAAUUAAAUAUCUCAUAUUUUUUAA
rnacentral:tRNA from 1 species